rnacentral:snRNA from 1 species
GGGCUGGCUUCGGCAGCACAUAUGCUAAAAUCGGAACAAUAUAGAGAAGAUGAGCGUGGUCGCUGCGCAAGGAGGACACGCAAACUCGUGAAGUGUUCCAUAUGUAU